UUUCCGUAGGUGAACCUGCGGAAGGAUCAUUACUGAGUGAGUCCCCUCUGGGUUCAACCUCCCACCCGUGUUUAUUGUACCUUGUUGCUUAGGUGAGCCCGCCUCACGGCCGCCGGGGGUCAUCUGCCCCCGGGCCCGCGCCCCCCGAAGACACCCUUGGACCCUGUCUGAAGUUUGCAGUCUUGGCGAAAACUAAGUAAGUUAAAACUUUCAACAACGGAUCUCUUGGUUCCG
rnacentral:misc_RNA from 1 species